UAUGUAGGGUCCGAGCGUUGUCCGGAAUUACUGGGCGUAAAGAGCUCGUAGGUGGUUUGUCGCGUUGUUCGUGAAAACUCACAGCUCAACUGUGGGCGUGCGGGCGAUACGGGCAGACUGGAGUACUGCAGGGGAGACUGGAAUUCCUGGUGUAGCGGUGGAAUGCGCAGAUAUCAGGAGGAACACCGGUGGCGAAGGCGGGUCUCUGGGCAGUAACUGACGCUGAGGAGCGAAAGCGUGGGGAGCGAACAGG
rnacentral:rRNA from 1 species